rnacentral:rRNA from 1 species
UACGAAGGGGGCUAGCGUUGUUCGGAAUGACUGGGCGUAAAGGGUGUGUAGGCGGUUAUACGCGUCAGAUGUGAAAUCCCCGGGCUUAACCUGGGAAUGGCAUUUGAUACGGUAUAGCUAGAGAUUGGUAGAGGGUAGUGGAAUUGCGAGUGUAGAGGUGAAAUUCGUAGAGAUUCGCAGGAACACCGGUGGCGAAGGCGGCUACCUGGGCCAAUACUGACGCUGAGGCACGAAAGCGUGGGGAGCAAACAGG